rnacentral:rRNA from 1 species
AGAGUUUGAUCAUGGCUCAGGAUGAACGCUGGCGGCGUGCCUAACCCAUGUAAGUCGAGCGAUCUUGUUAGCAAUAAUGAGAGAGCGGCGGAAGGGUGAGUAACACGUAGGAGACCUACCUCAUCGCAGGGAACAACUUCGCGAAAGCGGAGCUAAUACCCAAAAGGCUCACAGAUUCAUUUUUGUGAGGAGAGUACGAAAGUGCGUGAUGAGAGGGUCCUGCGGCCCAUCAGCUAGUUGGUAGGGUAACGGCCUACCAAGGCAACGACGGGUAGGGGGUCUGAGAGGACGAUCCCCCACACUGGAACUGAAACACGGUCCAGACGCCUACGGGUGGCAGCAGUCGAGAAU